rnacentral:rRNA from 1 species
AGUGAACGCUGGCGGUAGGCCUAACACAUGCAAGUCGAACGGCAGCACAGUAAGAGCUUGCUCUUACGGGUGGCGAGUGGCGGACGGGUGAGGAAUACAUCGGAAUCUACUUUUUCGUGGGGGUUAACGUAGGGAAACUUACGCUAAUACCGCAUACGACCUACGGGUGAAAGCAGUGGAUCUUCGGACCUUGCGCGAUUGAAUGACCCGAUGUGGGAUUAGCUAGUUGGCGGGGUAAAGGCCCACCAAGUGGACGAUCCGUAGCUGGUCUGAGAGAAUGGUAGCCCACAUUGGAACUGGAACAGGGUCCAUGCUCCUGCGGGAGGCAGCAGUGGGGAAUAUUGGACAGUGGGCGCAAGCCUGAUACAGCCAUACCGAGUGGGUGAAGAAGGCCUUCGGGUUGUAAAGCCCUUUUGUUGGGAAAGAAAAGCAUCAGGUUAAUACCACGCUGUUCUGACGGUACCCAAAGAAUAAGCACCGGCUAACUUCGUG